rnacentral:rRNA from 1 species
UACGUAGGGGGCAAGCGUUGUCCGGAUUUAUUGGGCGUAAAGAGCGUGUAGGCGGCCAUGUAGGUCCGUUGUGAAACUCGAGGCUCAACCUCGAGACGCCGAUGGAAACCAUGUGGCUAGAGUCCGGAAGAGGAGAGUGGAAUUCCUGGUGUAGCGGUGAAAUGCGCAGAUAUCAGGAAGAACACCCGUGGCUAAGGCGGCUCUCUAGUACGGUACUGACGCUGAGACGCGAAAGCGUGGGAGCGAACAGG